GAUGAACGCUGGCGGCGUGCCUAAUACAUGCAAGUCGAGCGAACGGACGAGAAGCUUGCUUCUCUGAUGUUAGCGGCGGACGGGUGAGUAACACGUGGAUAACCUACCUAUAAGACUGGGAUAACUUCGGGAAACCGGAGCUAAUACCGGAUAAUAUUUUGAACCGCAUGGUUCAAAAGUGAAAGACGGUCUUGCUGCCACUUAUAGAUGGAUCCGCGCUGCAUUAGCUAGUUGGUAAGGUAACGGCUUACCAAGGCAACGAUGCAUAGCCGACCUGAGAGGGUGAGCGGCCACACUGGAACUGAGACACGGUCCAGACUCCUACGGGAGGCAGCAGUAGGGAAUCUUCCGCAAUGGGCGAAAGCCUGACGGAGCAACGCCGCGUGAGUGAUGAAGGUCUUCGGAUCGUAAAACUCUGUUAUUAGGGAAGAACAUAUGUGUAAGUAACUGUGCACAUCUUGACGGUACCUAAUCAGAAAGCCACGGCUAACUACGUG
rnacentral:rRNA from 1 species